GGGCCCGCACAAGCGGUGGAGCAUGUGGUUUAAUUCGAUGAUACGCGAGGAACCUUACCAGGGCUUAAAUGUAAGUUGCAUAGAUCAGAGAUGGUCUUUUCUUCGGACUACUUACAAGGUGCUGCAUGGUUGUCGUCAGCUCGUGCCGUGAGGUGUCAGGUUAAGUCCUAUAACGAGCGCAACCCCUGUCGUUAGUUACCAGCAAGUAAUGUUGGGUACUCUAGCGAGACUGCCGGUGCAAACCGUGAGGAAGGUGGGGAUGACGUCAAGUCAUCAUGCCCCUUAUGUCCAGGGCUGCACGCAUGCUACAAUGGCAAGUACAACGAGUCGCAAUACCGCGAGGUGGAGCAAAUCUCUUAAAGCUUGUCUCAGUUCGGAUAGGAGUCUGCAACUCGACUCCUUGAAGUUGGAGUCGCUAGUAAUCG
rnacentral:rRNA from 1 species